AACAAACGCUGGCGGCAUGCCUUACACAUGCAAGUCGAACGGUAACGGGCCUUCGGGUGCCGACGAGUGGCGAACGGGUGAGUAAUGUAUCGGAACGUACCUUCCAGUGGGGGAUAACGUAGCGAAAGUUACGCUAAUACCGCAUAUUCUGUGAGCAGGAAAGCAGGGGAUCGCAAGACCUUGCGCUGAUUGAGCGGCCGAUAUCAGAUUAGCUAGUUGGUGAGGUAAAGGCUCACCAAGGCGACGAUCUGUAGCGGGUCUGAGAGGAUGAUCCGCCACACUGGAACUGAGACACGGUCCAGACUCCUACGGGAGGCAGCAGUGGGGAAUUUUGGACAAUGGGGGCAACCCUGAUCCAGCCAUGCCGCGUGAGUGAAGAAGGCCUUCGGGUUGUAAAGCUCUUUCGGCCGGGAAGAAAUCGUAUCAGCUAAUACCUGGUGCGGAUGACGGUACCGGCAUAAGAAGCACCGGCUAACUACGUGCCAGCCGCCGCCGUAAUAC
rnacentral:rRNA from 1 species